CCGAAAUCGGUAGACGCUACGGACUCAAAAUCCGUUG
rnacentral:tRNA from 1 species